AUGGCGGACUUCGAUACCUACGACGAUCGGGCCUACAGCAGCUUCGGCGGUGGCAGAGGGUCCCGCGGCAGUGCUGGUGGCCAUGGUUCCCGUAGCCAGAAGGAGCUGCCCACAGAACCCCCCUACACAGCCUAUGUAGGAAACCUCCCUUUCAACACAGUUCAGGGUGACAUAGACGCUAUCUUUAAGGAUCUCAGCAUAAAGAGCGUACGGCUAGUCACAGACAAAGACACAGACAAGUUUAAAGGAUUCUGCUAUGUAGAAUUCGAUGAGGUUGACUCCCUGAAGGAAGCCCUGACCUACAAUGGUGCACUAUUGGGUGACCGGUCACUUCGUGUGGACAUUGCAGAAGGCAGAAAACAAGAUAAAGGUGGCUUUGGAUUCAGGAAAGGCGGACCAGAUGACAGAGGUUACAGGGAUGACUUCCUAGGAGGCCGAGGAGGCAGUCGCCCAGGGGACCGAUGAGCAGGCCCUCCCAUGGGGAGUUGCUUCCAAGAUGGACCCCCGCUGCGCGGCUCCAACAUGGACUUCCGAGAACCCACGGAAGAAGAAAGAGCACAGAGACCACGGCUCCAGCUCAAACCUCGGACAGUGGCAACACCCCUCAACCAAGUACCCAACCCCAACUCUGCCAUCUUUGGGGGAGCCAGGCCCAGAGAGGAAGUCGUGAACAAGGAGCAGGAAUGAGCACGCAGCGGGAAUGGGGUGUGGGGAGUUAGAGC